rnacentral:rRNA from 1 species
UACGUAGGGUGCAAGCGUUUAAUCGGAAUUACUGGGCGUAAAGCGUGCGCAGGCGGCUAUGCAAGACAGAUGUGAAAUCCCCGGGCUCAACCUGGGAACUGCAUUUGUGACUGCAUAGCUAGAGUACGGUAGAGGGGGAUGGAAUUCCGCGUGUAGCAGUGAAAUGCGUAGAUAUGCGGAGGAACACCGAUGGCGAAGGCAAUCCCCUGGACCUGUACUGACGCUCAUGCACGAAAGCGUGGGGAGCAAACGAGG